rnacentral:rRNA from 2 species
AUCCGUUGAAUAGUUAGCGGCGGACGGGUGAGUAACACGUGGGUAACCUGCCUGUAAGACUGGGAUAACUCCGGGAAACCGGGGCUAAUACCGGAUGCUUGAUUGAACCGCAUGGUUCAAUUAUAAAAGGUGGCUUUUAGCUACCACUUACAGAUGGACCCGCGGCGCAUUAGCUAGUUGGUGAGGUAACGGCUCACCAAGGCGACGAUGCGUAGCCGACCUGAGAGGGUGAUCGGCCACACUGGGACUGAGACACGGCCCAGACUCCUACGGGAGGCAGCAGUAGGGAAUCUUCCGCAAUGGACGAAAGUCUGACGGAGCAACGCCGCGUGAGUGAUGAAGGUUUUCGGAUCGUAAAACUCUGUUGUUAGGGAAGAACAAGUACCGUUCGAAUAGGGCGGUACCUUGACGGUACCUAACCAGAAAGCCACGGCUAACUACGUGCCAGCAGCCGCGGUAAUACGUAGGUGGCAAGCGUUGUCCGGAAUUAUUGGGCGUAAAGCGCGCGCAGGCGGUUUCUUAAGUCUGAUGUGAAAGCCCCCGGCUCAACCGGGGAGGGUCAUUGGAAACUGGGGAACUUGAGUGCAGAAGAGGAGAGUGGAAUUCCACGUGUAGCGGUGAAAUGCGUAGAGAUGUGGAGGAACACCAGUGGCGAAGGCGACUCUCUGGUCUGUAACUGACGCUGAGGCGCGAAAGCGUGGGGAGCGAACAGGAUUAGAUACCCUGGUAGUCCACGCCGUAAACGAUGAGUGCUAAGUGUUAGAGGGUUUCCGCCCUUUAGUGCUGCAGCAAACGCAUUAAGCACUCCGCCUGGGGAGUACGGUCGCAAGACUGAAACUCAAAGGAAUUGACGGGGGCCCGCACAAGCGGUGGAGCAUGUGGUUUAAUUCGAAGCAACGCGAAGAACCUUACCAGGUCUUGACAUCCUCUGACAACCCUAGAGAUAGGGCUUCCCCUUCGGGGGCAGAGUGACAGGUGGUGCAUGGUUGUCGUCAGCUCGUGUCGUGAGAUGUUGGGUUAAGUCCCGCAACGAGCGCAACCCUUGAUCUUAGUUGCCAGCAUUCAGUUGGGCACUCUAAGGUGACUGCCGGUGACAAACCGGAGGAAGGUGGGGAUGACGUCAAAUCAUCAUGCCCCUUAUGACCUGGGCUACACACGUGCUACAAUGGGCAGAACAAAGGGCAGCGAAGCCGCGAGGCUAAGCCAAUCCCACAAAUCUGUUCUCAGUUCGGAUCGCAGUCUGCAACUCGACUGCGUGAAGCUGGAAUCGUUAGUAAUCGCGGAUCAGCAUGCCGCGGUGAAAACGUUCCCGU